rnacentral:pre_miRNA from 1 species
GUGCAGCCCGACCCAGCCCCAGAGUCCAAUCCAUCGGUCUUGGGCCUGGUGAGGCUGCUUA